rnacentral:snRNA from 1 species
AUCGCUUCUCAGCCUUUUGGCUAAGAUCAAGUGUAGUAUCUGUUCUUAUCAGUCUAACAAGAUACUAGCCAACCAGAUACAACAAUACAUUAAAAGAAUUAUUCAACGUGAUCAAGUGGGGUUUAUUCCUGGCAUGCAGAACUGGUUCAAUAUCGGCAAAUCAACC